UUACGGCCACAUCACGUUGAAACAGCGGUUUCCGUACGAACAGUGAAGUUAAACAACGUCGAGUCUGGUUAGUACCUACAUGGGUGACCGCUUGGGAAUACCAGGUACUGUAA